AAAAGGAUAGACUAAUUAAGAAGUUAUUAGAUUCAUAAUCUAAAGAUAUAAUUUUAUUAUUUCUUUUA
rnacentral:tRNA from 1 species